rnacentral:rRNA from 1 species
UUUUGACCGUGCAAAGGUAGCGCAAUCACUUGUCUCUUAAAUAGAGACCUGUAUGAAUGGCUAGACGAGGGCUUAACUGUCUCCCCCUUCCAGUCAGUGAAAUUGAUCUAUCCGUGCAGAAGCGGGUAUAAUUAUACAAGACGAGAAGACCCUUUGGAGCUUAAGGUACAAGGUUCAACCACGUUAAACGACUCCACGAAAAGCAAGAACUUAGUGGCGAAUGAAACUUUACCUUCGGUUGGGGCGACCACGGAGGAGAAGAGAGCCUCCGAGUGGACUGGGCUAAUCCCCAAAGCCAAGAGAUACAUCUAUAAGCCGCAGAACAUCUGACCAAGGAAUGAUCCGACUGAAAAGCCGAUCAACGAACCAAGUUACCCUAGGGAUAACAGCGCAAUCCUCUCCCAGAGUCCAUAUCGACAAGGGG